GAAUAGGCCAGCAGCGAGAACACAGCCUAGAGCAGGCUAAGAAACGUAAUGGGUAUAGCUGCCUGGAUUCUACUCAUGAUCAGAGAUUUAAUUGGCUUUGAAGCUGUCUCCAAAAUUCCAGUCCAGUCAGGAGGAUGCAGAGGUUCACGGGCAUCAGCCAUGAGUCCAGAAUAUGAUGCCAAGAAUCCAGAAACACUUGGUGGAGACAGGGACCACUGUCAACACAAGAAUGUGAUCACAUACUGGGACAGGAGAGAUGGUUCAACAGUAACAAGCACUUCCUGUUCUUCCAGAAGAUCCAGGUUCAGUUCCCAGAACCCGUCACUGCUGUCUGUAAAUCUAAUGCUACGGGAUCUGACACCCCUUUCUGGCUUCCAUGAGCUCCAGGCGCACAUGUGGUGGCAUCUUAAGGCCAUCAGCAAGACAACUUUGAGGCUGCCUCUGUGUGUGACCCUGGCUUUGACAACUGUUUCCAGCACCAUUGCUGAGCACCUGCAGGCCUGCCUGUGAGCAUACACUAGCAUCUGGCCGAAACCUUCUGGAGUCUCCAUAAGUGCCAUCCUUCUGCCCCGUCACAGCUGGAGAACUGCAUGGCAGACAUGGGUUAAGUCACCAAGCUCCCAGAACAACCUAACUAGAGCAAAGUCCCCAUCAGAACCAUGCAGCAGGUUAUCUGCCCAGCUGUUCCCCACUUGGUGAGGUGCCUGUGUAACCUUUAUAGGAGCCUGGUGUUGAAGGAAUGUUUGUGUGGAUAAACUGAAC
rnacentral:lncRNA from 1 species